rnacentral:piRNA from 1 species
UGGCUCAUUCACACGUGUGCGUA